rnacentral:tRNA from 1 species
GCCUUCGGGGCUUAGUGGUCAACACACUCGACGCCUAUUUGAGAAGCCCGCGGUUCGAGUCCCGGCGAGGGCA